rnacentral:lncRNA from 1 species
CUCCGUUAGACCCUCCCCCCAGGCCCGGCUCCCUCUGCGCAUGGCAGGCCCAGAUCAGCAGCUCUGAUCCAGAUUUCAGAGCAGGGGAUUGUGGAAGACAUAGAGACUUAGCUCCAGCCAAGCUCCGCUAUCUUCCUAGCAGAAAACCUUCAAGGAGCCUCACAUUUUCCAUCUGAAGCUAGAGAGAAUAACUGCCCUGCCUCACUCCCAUGUCAGAGCCCCACCACCCUGAGCAAGCGGCUUCCAUGUCAGGAAAGUGAGGUCAGACACUACCUUCUCCAGUGGGCCUGCUGGCAGCUCCCUGAGAAUCCUCUCUAUCCCCUCCUCACCCCUGCCUGGGCCACAGUCUGCCAGGUGGGAGAAUGAGCAGAUAUGCUCAUUGAGGAGGGGCCUCUUCAGCUCCUGGGACCCCAUGCCAGGUACUCCAAGAAACACAGGCAUCAAGUGAGCACGAGACCCUCAGGAAAAAUAACACCAUAGAGUGGAAAGAAAAACUACCUGAUGAGAGAAAGUAUUUGUGACACACAGGAUUCAAAUCUAAAGGUAAGAGGAAUGUCCACGGAUCAGUAACAACCUGACAGAAAAGUGGACUCUGGAAUAUAGAGAAGCAAGUCACAGACGAGGCAUCGAAACGGGCAGUAAACCCAAAAUGUGGUCACCUCGUCAGUUGUCAGAGAGACAUGGAGGUAAACAGCCCUGGGUCAUGGGUCAGAUAGUAAGACUUUUCAAUUCUGAUGACACUGGUGCCUG